rnacentral:misc_RNA from 1 species
AAGGCACUCAUGUUCUUCAACGCACAACGAUCCGGGCCGAUUCCAAAGCACAACAAUGUAAGUUGGAGGGGAAACUCGGGCAUGAAAGAUGGGAUCUCUGAUAAUGCAGUCCGGAAGAACUUGGUGGGAGGGUAUUACGAUGCCGGUGACGCCAUCAAGUUCAAUUUUCCUAUGUCCUUUGCGAUGACAAUGCUCAGCUGGAGUGUUAUCGAGUACAGUGCAAAAUAUGAGGCUGCUGGUGAGCUUGACCAUGUCAAGGAGACUAUCAAGUGGGGCACUGAUUAUCUCCUCAAGACCUUCAACUCCUCCGCUGAUACCAUCGACCGCAUCGCUGCUCAGGUUGGACUGGGAGAUACCUCAAAGGGACCAGGUCCAAAUGACCAUUACUGCUGGAUGAGGCCGGAGGAUAUCUAUU